UUUGCACAUCCUGAAUGCUUCCUUCUUAAGACUUUGCUAGAUGCAAGCAUUCUACUGUCCAAAAGCUGUCAUUGAGAGCACUGUUGGUUUGGUGGCAAUAAAGUUCAGAAGCAAUUGCAACAAACCUCCCUUCCUAGUUGGCCUGGAUGCUCACGGUGCUUAUGAAGCAGCACCAUGAGGCAAGCAAGGUGAACGGAUGCCUCCAAGCCCUUGUUCGUUUAUCACACUGUUCUGUUAUAACAACCAUGAGACUUGAAACCAACAAGCUCAAGUUCGGCACUCGCGUGGUUACUGCGGAGGAUCCAUAAAAAGCACAAAAACAGAAAACUCAAGGGAAAGAAUAA
rnacentral:lncRNA from 1 species